CUUGAGCCAACGCCAACAAAAAGAAAAGAAAAGAAAAACACCGAAACAGCCACAUCCGCUUCAAAAUUAACGGCGACCAAUCCUCCUGUAGCUCUUCAGAGUUGCCCUCCACCGAAACGCCCGCGCCGAGGACGCCCGCACCGACGCCGACAGAAGACGCCGACGACGCCCGCGACAUCCACGACGACGGCCUCCUCGCCAACACAGGUGCAUGCUUUCUCUUCAAUCUUUCAGACGCCGUCGCCCACACUGACACGACUGUCUCCGGACUACGCAUCGGCGGCGGCAAACUCCUUGGCAUGCACCUUUGCACGCAUGUGAAGAUGUUAACAAUGACAUCCUUUCAUUGCUCAUGUUUCUGUUCUGCAUAGUUCUACAUAAAUAGUGAAACCAUGGUUAAUCCACAUACUAGGAUCUAUGAUUGUCCAUGUAAUCGAUGCAAGAGAUGAACCAUAUGCCGUGAGCAUAUGUUAUGAAAACCAAUCAUAAAGUGCAUGAGCAAGUGAAAUCAUACCACGGAUCCUCAGCAGAUCCCCAUGGUACUGAAAAUUUGAUACCACUGACCUAACCUAUGACUGAAACAAAUCUUUGUAGUUUGCCGCAAUGUUCUGUAAAAAUCAUAUGACCAUAAGAAAAUACACCCUAUGCAUGAGGCCUCUUGAUCGAAAGCGACAACCGCGAUUGAAUCUAUUACAAAGAUGUCCCCUCAAAAUCAUAUGACCAUAAGAAAAUACACCCUAUGCAUGAGGCCUCUUGACAACGACAAUUGCGAUUGAAUCUAUUAUAAAGUACAGUAUUACAUUUCGAGGUUGUUGGUUCCAUAUUCUAAAUGAUGGUCUUGCGCUCCAUUAAAUAUAAUGAUCUCACAUGUUUUUACAGGAGUUCGUAUUCGUAUGGGCCCUACCACUCCCAACAGGACCCCCACUCCCAGCAGGACGCGCACCCCCUUCCAGGAUAUAAGCAACAACCAAACAUCAGGUAUUGAUCAUAACCCAGUCAGGACGCGCCCCCCCUUCCAGGAUAUAAGCAACAACCAAACAUCAGGUAUUGAUCAUAACCCAGUCACUCAAGUUCGAUACAGUAUUACAACUGUGAACUGUGUCAUGAUUUGCAGACCCAAAGGAACUAAAAAGGCAGAGGGAUAGAGAGCGGUAUGCAAAAAAUAAAGAUGAGAUUAAUAAGAGAAGGCGUGAAGCCUACAAAAGAAAAAAAAAUACCAGUGAGGAAAUAGAUGGCCUACAUAACGGAACACCGGCACAGCUAGCUGUAUCACAAGGUAAUGAUGAUCAAAUUUCAUUAUCUAUGCCCCAAUUGAAUUGGCAUGUAAUUAUUUUUUCUUCAUCUGUUCAAACACUAACGAGACUAAGAAUCGGAGGCAAAGGGAGCGUUAUGCACAGAAUAGAGAGGAAAUCUUAAAGAGACAACACCAAACCCGUGAGCAAAAUAGAAAUAUUACUGCUGCUUUCGAUGGCAGUAUCCUUGUGUCGCAUAUGCCAACUACUGGACAAGAGGCGGUCACCCAACUGCAGAACAUUGCUGCUGCUUUCAAUUCCAAUAACCUUGUGUCGCAUAUGCCACCUACUGGACAAGAGGCGGUCACCCAACUGCAGAACAUUACUGCUGCUUUCAAUGCCACUAACAUAUGCUCACGUGUGCCAGCUACUGGACAAGAGGCGGUCACCCAGCUACAGAACAUCACAGGCCCAGAUGGUGCAUUACCAACUUUAGGACCAUACAAUGGAUUCAUACAAACAGACAAGGAGAAUAUUUCUGACAAUGAUGAAUCCGAUUGGCUGCACAGAAAUGAUGCGUACCAGAUGCAACGAAGUUCAAGAAGAAUGACACUCACACAACUGGCAGGGGUUGACAACCCCCAACUCAAUACAGUCGUCAAUCUACGUACCCCAGGGGUAACUUUUCAUGAUCAGGGUUAGUUCAUCGAUUUAAUUAAGUUGCUAAAUUAUCAAUAGUGUUUGUUUCUCCUUUAAUUGAGCACUUUGUUCGUCAUUCGAUUGAGACUAGCAUUUGGUUCCUAUCUUCGGUUCAUCCCUGCUACUUACUCACUGGGGUCAACCAAUGUUAUCAGGCAACGACCACGGCGAAUAUGCGUAUGGAAUACUGGAGCCCGAUGUCCAGACUGUAAUACUUGAUGGUAUGCAAAAUGGCAGUUUAAGAUUCCUCUACCCCGAUAAUAUGUGUCAUAAGCGUAAUUUACGUGACCUUGUGCAUCAUAACUCUGUCCUAUUCAUGAUUUACUAGACUGCUUGGGAGACCGGAACCUUGGAGAAACUGGUGAUGUUGACCCUGAUGAAGAAGCUAGGAUGUUUGCUAGACCAGGUAGAUUAUUGCUAUCAUGAGUUAUGAAUACGACAUAAGAUAGUUAUAUGGUUUGUGCACAAACUUUAAAUAAUGCAAUUGUCCAUUCUUUUCCAAAUGUUGAUUUUGAAUCCUGCCGAGUGGCACGGCAUCAUGGUGAUGGAACUAUCACUAAUGAGCAUCAUGACAGAGUUUACAUGAACCUGCCCAAAAAUCACCAUGUACUUAGAAAAGUUAGCGACUGCUGCCACUGUGGAGCUUUGCGGUUCCAAUACGAGGGGCCUGCAUUUUGUUGCAGGAAGGGAAAAGUUGGUGUAUUUACUCCAGAGGUUGAUGAAGAGUUGAAACGAUUGUUCACAAGUCAGGAUGAUGAGGAUGCAAAAUAUUUCAGAGAGAAUAUACGGUAUUUCAACUCCCACUUCUCAUUCACCAGUCUUGGAGUCACCCUUGAUCGUCGAGUCAGCACUGCGGCAGGAACAGGUGUAUAUACAUUUCGUGCCUGUGGGGGAUUGUACCACGCUCUUGAUGAUCUGUCGUUUGGUGAUAAUGGCCCUCGGCAUUUGCAGCUAUAUAUUUAUGAUACGGAUGAAAACUUGCUUCACAGAGUUAAGAGGUCUCCGAAUCUUAGGCUGGAUCUCAUACGGAAGAUUCUAACAAUACUAGAACAUAACCCUUAUGCUCAGGUUUUGAAGAGCCUUGGUGUUGUUCCGAAUCUGGAUGAAUAUAGGAUCUCACUAAACACAGGUAUCAACCUCGAUCAACGAAGGUACAAUGCGCCAACUACUUCUCAGGUUGCAGCAAUAUGGGUUGAAGGAAGCGACCCACAUAAAACCUUUGAUAGGAGUGUUGUCGUAUAUGGUAAAGGAGACGCUGGUAAAGGAGACCGUCCCCUGUAUAUUAGAGCAUACCAUGGGUGCUACGACCCUUUGUCAUAUCCACUGUUCUUCCCACGUGGGGAGAUCAGUUGGAAUCGUUGGAUGCCAUAUAUUGAGUUAGUCGAUGACACAAACCAAGUUUCAGUGGAUGAAUUUGCACAACAGAACCCAGCCUAUGGUUUUCCUUCAGGUAUGAUGUUCAAAAUUGGUAUAUAUCAUAUUAUUUAAAUUAAAACUUAUGCAGUCAUCCAUCUUUCAGAUGAUAACGUGAUUAGAGAACAAGUUGGUCAUAAAGCACAGCAUGAAGAGCAACCCACUGAUUUACCUGAAGGUAUAGGUCGACAUUACUACUUCUAUUAUUCUCUAAAUUAAAACUUAUGCAGUGAUCCAUCUUUCAGAUGAUAACAUGCUUAGAGAACAAGUGGGUCAUAACACACAGCAUGAAGACCAACCCACUGAUUUACCCAAAGAUAUAGGUCGUCAUUACUACUUUUAUUGUUCUUUAAAUUAAAACUUAUAGUCAUCCAUCUUUCAGAUGAUAACAUGAUUAGAGAACAAGUUGGUCAUAACGCACAGCAUGAAGACCCACCCACUGAUUUACUUGAUGGUAUAGUCGCCAUUACUACUUUUAUUAUUCUUACUUAUGGUUGUACCUACCAUAACAAUUUUUAUGUUGUUAACCAAUUAUUAGGUGACGACGAUGAUAACCCGGAUGAGGAUUUUGGUGAUGAUGAGAUGAAUCCAACAAAAUCAAGGAAAUUUGUUAGCGCGAGAGAGUACUAUUGCUUCAAGCUGUGUGUCCGGAAGAAGCUUUUUAACAUCAUCUUGUUCGGGGGGCGCCUUUUCCAACAGUGGGCUGUUGACAUGUACAUCAAGAUUGAGACAAUGAGGCUUGACUGGUAUUCAAAGCCAGCAAAUCAAAAGGUUAUACGCGCUGACCUGUAUCAGGUAACUGCUUCUAUUUAUCACAAAAUUUACAUUAUAGAUGCCUCACUCUUUGCUUGAACCUUUAUACUAAUUGGAGUGAAAUAUUGUUUUAUUAUAGGGUCUUGUUGACACCAUCGUUGCUGGCGAGUCACGCGGUGAUCAGAUUGGCAAGAGAAUCGUGCUUCCACGUACAUUUCCUGGUGGUGACAGUGACAUGCAGCGCAGGUUUCUGGAUGCGAUGGCAAUAGUUCAACAUUGGGGUAAACCGGAUUAUUUUGUCACGAUGACAUGCAAUCCCUACUGGGAGGAGAUAAUGCAGGAAUUGUUGCCUGGACAGCUGCCACAAGACCGCCCAGACCUUGUGGCAAGAGUAUACAGAGCUAAGCAACGAAAUAUGAUGGACUUACUAACUAAGGGUAAGCAUUUCGGAGAAGUCGCAGCUUAUGUACAUGUCACAGAGUUUCAGAAGCGAGGUCUCCCGCAUGAGCAUAUACUUCUAAUCAUGGAAGCAAAAAGCAAGUUAAGGACCUCAGAUGACUAUGAUCGGGUGAUAUCUGCAGAGAUACCCGACAAAAAGAAAUAUCCUGUCCUCCAUGAUCUGGUAGUCAAACACAUGUUGCACGGCCCAUGUGGUGCACUCCAGAAAAGUUGCCCUUGCAUGAUAGAUGGACAAUGUCGAUUUCAUUACCCGCGAGAUUUCUGUGAUGCUACAUUACAAGGGAAAGACUCAUAUCCCAUCUAUAGAAGGAGGGACGACGGGGUUCGAGUAAGGAUCAGAGGAGCAGAUUUGGACAAUAGAUGGGUGGUCCCUUACAACCCCUUUCUGCUUAUGAAAUACAACUGUCACAUAAAUGUCAAAGCAUGCUCGAGCAUCAAGGCAGUCAAGUACUUAUUCAAGUACAUCUACAAAGGGCAUGAUAAGGCAUCAUUUGCAUUCGAGCAGGAUAUUAUCAAUGAUGGGGGAAUCAUUAAUGAAAUUCGUCAAUACAGGGAUGCAUGCUAUAUAUCUCCUCUAGAAGCUAUUUACAAGAUUUUUGGGUUUAAAACGUUUGGUGUUAGUCCAUCUGUGUUACAGCUGCAACUUCAUUUGCCAAACAUGCACAUAGUCGCAUUUAAGGGUUAUGAAAAUCUGGAAGAUGUUGUCGCUCACCCAACUUCUUCCAAAUCCAUGCUUACCGAGUAAUUUGAGAUGAACAAGAAGUAUCCAGCGGCACAAAAAUGGCUGUACAGAGAGUUCCCAGAACAUUAUAGGUGGACUGCCGCUAAUAAAAAAUCGCAAACGAGAAGAAGUAAGAGAUCACAGAUUGGAAGACUGGUGUAUGCACACCCUGCUGAAGGAGAGAGGUACUACUUGCGGGUGCUCCUAAGUCAUGUCCGAGGUGCCACUUCAUUUGAUGAUUUAAAACCAGUAAAUGGCAAGCCAUGCACUUCCUUCAGAGAGGCAUGUGAGCACUUAGGCCUCAUUGAGCAUGACAGGACACUGGAUGAUUGCAUGACGGAGGCAGCAACAUUUCAAAUGCCUUCUGCUCUUAGACGGUUGUUUGCGACUAUACUGGUAUUCUGUGAGGCAACACAAAUCCGUCAAUUGUGGAACAAACAUCUACCAUCGAUGGCUGAAGAUUACCGUCGCACUGAGUCGAACGAGGCAACACUUGAGCAGAUGGUCCUUAGAGAUGUCAGGGAUCUGGUGCAAUCCAUGGGUAAGGAUAUUAAAAUGUAUGGACUUCCAGAUCUGGUUGACACAGAUGGUUCUUCUGACGCCGAGUAUAGAGAGGUAACAGAGGAGAGACAAGUUAGAGUUGACCAAGAGCAUCUAGAUCUAUUUAGCUGUUUGAACAUUGAACAACUGGAUGGUUUCAACGACAUAAUGGAUCAUGUGACGAACCAAAAAAGCCAGAUAUUUUUUGUUGAUGGUCCAGGAGGCACUAGGAAGACGUACCUGUACAAGGCAUUGCUUGCGAAGGUCCGUUCGAUGGGCCUAAUAGCGAUCGCAACUGCUACAUCAGGUAUAGCGGCGUCAAUAAUGGCUGGAGGCCGGACUGCCCACUCCAGGUUCAAAAUUCCAAUCAAGCUCACUGACAACAACAUGUGUGGUUUCACAAAGCAGAGUGGUACGACAGAGUUGCUUAAACAGGCGUCCUUGAUAAUUUGGGAUGAAGUUGCUAUGACAAAGCAUCAAGCAGUUGAGACGCUUGACAGAUCGCUACAAGAUAUAAUGGAAUGUCCUCUGCCAUUUGGUGGAAAGGUUGUUGUCUUUGGUGGGGAUUUCAGGUAGGUCCUCCCCGUUGUUACACGAGGGACAAGAGCACAGAUCACGGAUGCUACACUGUUGAGAUCCUAUCUGUGGGAUAAGAUCCGCAAGAUACGCCUAACGCGCAAUAUGCGGGCACAGGCGGACCCUUGGUUCUCCGAAUACCUCCUAAGGAUUGGCAAUGGAACGGAAGAAACUAUUGGUGACGACUAUGUGCAUCUCCCUGAAGACAUUGUGAUUGGUUAUACUGAGGACGAAGAACCUAUUAACAAGCUCAUCGAAGAUGUCUUCCCAUCCCUACACACCAAUGCUAGGUCAAGGGAGUACAUGAGCAAACGUGCAAUUCUCUCGACCAAAAACGAGCAUGUGGAUGACCUGAAUGACAAGAUGAUCUCUAGGUUUCUGGGAGAAGAAAAGGUAUACCAUAGCUUUGACUCUAUCGAGGAUGACUUCCAGAAUAAUUACACGAUUGAUUUCCUGAACUCCAUCACACCAAAUGGCUUGCCCCCCAUGUCUUGAGAGUAAAAAUCAACUGCCCAGUCAUUUUGCUACGGAACCUCGACCUCAUAAUGGCUUGUGUAAUGGAACACGGCUUAUGAUCAGAGCCUUCCAGGAUAAUGCAAUUGAUGCGGAGAUUGUUGGUGGCCAGCAUGCUGGAAAGAGGGUGUUCAUACCUAGGAUCCCUAUGUCGCCAUCGGAGGACACCUCACUUCCCUUCAAGCUUAAGAGAAAACAAUUCCCCAUCUGCCUGAGUUUUGCGAUGACCAUUAACAAGGCACAGGGUCAAACCAUCCCAAAUGUCAGUAUUUACCUUCCCGAACCUGUUUUCUCACAUGGCCAGCUAUAUGUUGCAUUGUCAAGGGGUGUGUCAAGAAAGACGACACGAAUUUUAGCCAAGCCUAACAAGGAGGUUGAUAAAUCUGGGAAGAGCACCAAAAACAUUGUCUACAGAGAUGUUUUAGAGGGGUGAGGCAGGUACGAUCUUUCGUGUAUUCUUUGCACCUUUGCUUUUGUAUCUAUAUAACUAAUUCUCGACCUAACACUUUUCUUUCCUUUUAUUUUCAGGUCUUUUUAGGGACAGAGUGUGAAGCUUCCUUUACUUUGCGGUGGAGAUGAAUGAUACAAUAAACCAGGCGCCAGAUUAGCCAUAUUAGGGAACAGUCUAUGUUGUAUUCUGUGCUAUCUAAAUAUACUGUAGCGUUCUGUUCUGUUGAAGAUGUUCUCGAAUGCCAAAGUGUCCUGCAGUCUUUGAACCCCUUUCAUUUUCUUUCAUGUAAAGUUUUUUUGAAGAUGUCUCCGGCUGUUGAGUAACUUAACUUAUGUUAGCUAUGUCAUAUAUUUGUGAUGAAAACUGCAAGAGUCUAUGAGAUUUGCAGAAUGUAGUGAAGUUGAGAGGCAUUAUUACUACUGUAUGAACAUGGCUCGUUCCCGAAUCUGUGGUACAUGAGCUAACAUGCUUUCUUUUUUCAGAAAGACAAUAGAAUAUUAGAUGGCUUUAGGUUUGCUUCAGUGUUUACCUGGAAACUGGGGACAGCAACAGGCGCGGAAUCGAUUAUGGAACCCUUAAUCUCCUGCACCGCUGAAGGAUCUUGCCGCUGCAAAUUGACAUCAGGAUAACCACACAUUACUAAACACCAAGUCGAAAAAACAGACAAUAGAAUAGGUACAAGAUCGUUCCAAGCAAAGCAAUCUUUACCCACAGGAUCCCCUUGACUUGCCUUACAGACUUG
rnacentral:lncRNA from 1 species